UCUGCAUAUUCUGGUUUCUGUGUUGCUCUCUAACUGGCUGGUAAAUCUAACGGGAGAAAAGAGAAACACUAUACAGAGCUCCCUGGAUCCCUGAAUUACACCAAGGAAAUACAAAUAAGAUAUUUCAACAAGUAAAUAUAAUGGGUGAAGGAAGCUUGAGGAAAAGGAAAGAACAGGACAACAGAAGAGAGGAUGGACAAUCCAUUCAGAGGCAGGAACCCCAAGCUAUGAACCUAAAAAAAGAGGUGGGCCUGAUUAGUGGAAUCUGUAUGAUCGUUGGCACAAUUAUUGGUUCAGGUAUCUUUGUUUCUCCAAAAUCAGUACUUGCCAAUGUUGGAGCAGUGGGUCCUUGUUUAACCAUCUGGGCAGUCUGUGGAGUUCUCGCAACACUAGGUGCACUCUGUUUUGCUGAACUUGGUACAACGAUCACAAAAUCAGGAGGAGAAUAUCCUUACCUU